rnacentral:rRNA from 1 species
AGUGAACGCUGGCGGUAGGCCUAACACAUGCAAGUCGAACGGCAGCACAGUAAGAGCUUGCUCUUACGGGUGGCGAGUGGCGGACGGGUGAGGAAUACAUCGGAAUCUACUUUUUCGUGGGGGAUAACGUAGGGAAACUUACGCUAAUACCGCAUACGACCUACGGGUGAAAGCAGGGGAUCUUCGGACCUUGCGCGAUUGAAUGAGCCGAUGUCGGAUUAGCUAGUUGGCUGGGUAAAGGCCCACCAAGGCGACGAUCCGUAGCUGGUCUGAGAGGAUGAUCAGCCACACUGGAACUGAGACACGGUCCAGACUCCUACGGGAGGCAGCAGUGGGGAAUAUUGGACAAUGGGCGCAAGCCUGAUCCAGCAAUACCGCGUGGGUGAAGAAGGCCUUCGGGUUGUAAAGCCCUUUUGUUGGGAAAGAAAAGCAGCAGGUUAAUACCCCGCUGUUCUGACGGUACCCAAAGAAUAAGCACCGGCUAACUUCGUG